AUGACUACAACACAGCAGUCACCUCAAGAUGAAUAGGAGAAAUUCUUGCAUGAAGCCAUACAGGCUGUAAAGGUUUAGUCAUUCCAGAUGAACAAAUGCUUGGAGAAAAACAAGCUUAUGGAUGCUCUGAAACAUGCAUCUAAUAUGCUUGGUGAACUCUGGGCUUUCAUGUUACCACCAAAGAGCUACCAUGAACUUUAUAUUGCUAUUUCUGAUGAACUGCACUAUUUGGACUUCUACUUGGCAGAUGAAUUUGCUAAAGGAAGGAAAAAGGCGGAUCUCUAUGAACUUGUAAAAUAUGCUGGAAACAUUAUCCCAAGGUUUUAUCUGUCAAUCACAGUUGGAGCUGUUUGUGUCAACUCAUUUCCUCAAUCCAGGAAAGAUAUUUUGAAAAAUUUGGUGGAAAUGCACCAUGGUGUGCAGCAUCCACAAAGGGUUUAUUUCUUCAAAAUUACCUUCUUCAGUGUACCAUGAAUAUUUUACCAAGGAGAGCCAACAGAUGAGGAAUGAGCUGGGGAUUCAGUGAUUCCGUGGAUUUUGUACUCUUUAACUUCGCAGAAAUGAACAAGUUUUGGGUGCAGAUGCAACAUCAAGGACAUAGCUGAGAUAAAGCAAAAAGAAUGGGAAUGACAAGAACUGAGAAUGUUAGUAGGAACAAAUUAUUGCCUCUCAGUCAAUUGGAAGGUGUGAAUGUGGAACACUACAGACAGAUUGCCUUAACUGACAUAUUGGAGCAGGCUGUGAAUUGUAGAGAUGCUUUGGCUCAGGAGUAUCUUGUGGAGUGUGUUAUUCAGGUUUUUCCUCAUGAAUUCCACCUCCAGACUUGGAAUCCUUUUCUUUGGACCUGUGCUGAGUUACACCAAACUGUAAACAUGAAAAAUAUAAUCAUUGCUUUAAUUGAUAGAUUAGCUUUAUUUGCACAUUGUGAAGCUGGACCUAGGAUCCAAGCAGAUAUUAAACAUUUUUAUAUAUUUUCACAGCAGGUGGCUACAUUAAUACAGUCUAGGCAAGGCAUGCCUUCAGAGGAUGCAGUAUCUUUACAGGUCUCUCUCAUUAAUCUCACUGUGGAAUGUUACCCUGAUCGGGUGGACUAUGUUGACCAAGUUCUAGAAACAACAGUGGAGAUAUUCAAUAAGCUCAACCUUGAACAUAUUGCUACCAGCAGUGCAGUUUCAAAGGAACACACCAGACUUUUGAAGAUACCUGUUGACAUGUACAAGAAUAUUUUGGCAGUCUUGAAAUUAAAACAUUUCCACCUGCUCUUUGAGAACUUUGACUACGAGCCCAGAAAGAGUAUGAGUUGUUAUCUGCUUAAUGUUCUGGAUUAUCAUACAGAAAUUGUCUCUCAAGGCCAGGUGGAUUCCAUAAUGAACUUUGUGUCUACGUUGAUUCAGGAUCAGCCAGACCAACCUGUAGAAGACCCUGAUCCAGAAGACUUUGCUGAUGAGCAGAGCCUUGUGGGCCAGUUCACUCAUCUUCUUCUAUCUGAGGACCCUGAUAAGCAGUACUUGAUCUUAAACAUAGCAUGGAAGAAUUUUGGAGCUAGUGAAAAUCAGCGGAUUUGCUUCACACUGCCACCCUGGUAUUUGCAGGCUUACUGGCUGGCUUUUCGAUACAAAGGGAAUUCUAAAGUGGAUGACAAAUGGGGGGAAAAUGCAGGAAGAUUAUUUUGUUUGCUCACCAGACUAUCAGUGCUUUGAUCAAAGCAGAGCUGGCAGAAUUACCCUUAAGAAUUCUUCUUCAGGGAGCCCUAACUGCUGGUGAGAUUGGCUUUGAAAAUAAUGAAACAGAAGCAUGAAUUUAUGUCCCAGGCACUUUCCCUGUAUGAAAAUGAAAUCAGUGAUUCCAAGCACAGCUGGCUGACAUCCUAUUGGUCACUGGCACUUUGGAGAGGAUGAAAUGCUUCAGUGAAGAGAAUCAUGAACCCUUGAGAACACAAUGUGUGCUUGCUGCAUCCAAAUUUCUGAAAAAGCCCAAUCAGGGCCAAGCAGUGAGCACCUGUGCGCAUCUCUACUGGUCCAGGAGAAACACAGACAAAAAUGGGGAGGGGUUUCAUGGGGAGAAGAGGGUGCUGGAGUGCCUAAAGAAAGCUCUCAAAACAGCAAAUCAGGGCACGGACUCCUCUCUACAAGUAUAGCUUUUUAUAGAAAUUCUGAACAGAUGAAUCUAUUUUUAUGAAAAGGAAAAUGAUGCGGUAACAAUUCAGGUGUUGAACCAGGUUAUCCAAAAGAUUCAAGAAAACCUCCCAAAUCUUGAGUCUGGUGAAGAAACAGAGCAGAUUAACAAACAUUUUUGUAACACGUUAGAGCAUUUGUGUUUGAGGCGGGAAUCACCAGAGUCUGAGGGGCCAACUUAUGAAGGUCUUAUCCUUUAA